rnacentral:rRNA from 1 species
CCUACGGGAGGCAGCAGUGAGGAAUAUUGGUCAAUGGGCGCGAGCCUGAACCAGCCAAGUCGCGUGAGGGAAGACGGUCCUAUGGAUUGUAAACCUCUUUUGUCGGGGAGCAAAAGACGCCACGCGUGGCGUUCCGAGAGUACCCGAAGAAAAAGCAUCGGCUAACUCCGUGCCAGCGGCCGCGGUAAUACGGAGGAUGCGAGCGUUAUCCGGAUUUAUUGGGUUUAAAGGGUGCGCAGGGGGAAGAUGAAGUCAUCGGUAAAAUUGAGAGGCUCAACCUCUUCGAGCCGUUGAAACUGGGUGUCGUGAGUGAGCGAGAGGUAUGCGGAAUGCGUGGUGUAGCGGUGAAAUGCAUAGAUAUCACGCAGAACUCCGAUUGCGAAGGCAGCAUACCGGCGCUCAACUGACGCUCAUGCACGAAAGUGUGGGUAUCGAACAGGAUUAGAUACCCGUGUAGUC